rnacentral:rRNA from 1 species
AUACGGAGGGUGCAAGCGUUAUCCGGAAUCAUUGGGUUUAAAGGGUCCGUAGGCGGGCUAUUAAGUCAGAGGUGAAAUCCCACAGCUCAACUGUGGAAUUGCCUUUGAUACUGAUAGUCUUGAGUUACAGUGAAGUAGAUAGAAUAUGUAGUGUAGCGGUGAAAUGCAUAGAUAUUACAUAGAAUACCGAUUGCGAAGGCAGUCUACUAACUGUAUACUGACGCUGAUGGACGAAAGCGUGGGGAGCGAACAGGAUUAGAAACCCUAGUAGUCC